UCUGGCAGUCUGUUUACACAGUGUCAAUGGUUAAGACUGAAUGAAAGGGAACUGGUUUCCUGCUGAAGUUAAGCUGGGUUGAGUCUGGUCAGUGCUUGGAUGGGAGACCACCUGGGAGAGCUAAGGUUGCUGAUGGGA
ensembl:rRNA 5S_rRNA 5S ribosomal RNA